GGUCUCAUGUGCUUCAUUGCUUAUCUCAACAUUUGUGGAUGCCAUUUUCAAAUACUUUCACAAAACAAGGGUUAAUUGACAUGUCACAUAUUAUCCCUAUACUCUGACCGACCAAAUAAACUUAGGUAGGUCAUACUAGCGAAGGAAUUUCCUGUCUCUCCCCUCCUAGUUCUAGUCUCACAUCUCAGCCAGGGAUCAUAUCCCUAAGCUUUGAUACUAACUGUGACACCCCCAAAAUAGGUAUACAUCACCCAUUCUGAGUCGCCAAAUACAUGGUACAAAAUUCAAAUACAACUUAAUUAUACAACUGUCGUGUAAAAUACGACAAAAUAUAAGAUGCGAGUUUUAAUACGAAUAUUGUCUUCUAGACAGUAUUCAAACUCAAAUGGAGUCCUUAUUACAUUUAUUAUCACAUUAUUUCACUGAAUAGUGAGGACUACUAAUGCAAACAUUUGGACCAUCACUCUGUUCCCCGACUAGUCCAAGCUAUAUUCUCAUUUCCUGAAGAGAACAAUGAAAACAAAGGGUGAGCUCAACUAGACCAGUAAGAAAUAUUAUGACUAAGAUAAUGCAGAAUAAAUUAUCGUUAGC
rnacentral:lncRNA from 1 species